rnacentral:rRNA from 1 species
UACGUAGGGUGCAAGCGUUGUCCGGAAUUAUUGGGCGUAAAGAGCUCGUAGGCGGUUUGUCGCGUCUGCGUAGAAACCCGGGGCUCAACCGAUCCGGCCUGCAGCCGAUACGGGCAGACUAGAGUUCGGCAGGGGAGACUGGAAUUCCUGGUGUAGCGGUGAAAUGCGCAGAUAUCAGGAGGAACACCGGUGGCGAAGGCGGGUCUCUGGGCCGAUACUGACGCUGAGGAGCGAAAGCGUGGGGAGCGAACAGG